UCCUAGGAUAUUGGUUGGCACUCAAAGGGUUAAGUGGUCACUCAAGCCAUCAGGUUAUCAAGUCUUCAGCAUCACCACAUCCAGGCAGGGCAGGCUUCAGAGCGAGGUUUAAUGCAUUCAUACAUCCAGGUAAUAAGCCUUAGAUGAACAAAGUAUACGUGGAAAGGUGUGUAGUAAAUGCCACUACUUGUGUUAAAAAUAUACAGCUGUUAUGGACUGCAUAAGGGCUUCCUGCCCCCCAAAUUCCUAUGUUGAAGUUCUGAGCCCCAGUGUGGCUGUCUGGAUUGGGGCCUCUAAGGAUAUAAAGAGGUUAAAUAAGAUCAGAAAGGUGGGUCCUGGCACCCUGGGAUGAGUGCGGUUCUAGGAGACACCAGAGAGCCCACUUGCUCUCUCUUCCUCCCUCUACUCAGGCAUCAAGUGAGAAGGCAGCUGUCUGCAAGCCAGGAGUCAGGUCCUCACAAAGCCAACCCUGUUGGAACCUUGAUCUUAGACUUCCAGCCUCCAGAACUGUGAGAAAAUUGAAACUACUUUCAUUAUCUAAAUUCUGUUAA